rnacentral:rRNA from 1 species
AUUACUCCUACGGGAGGCAGCAGUGGGGAAUAUUGCACAAUGGGCGAAAGCCUGAUGCAGCAACGCCGCGUGAGCGAUGAAGGCCUUCGGGUCGUAAAGCUCUGUCCUCAAGGAAGAUAAUGACGGUACUUGAGGAGGAAGCCCCGGCUAACUACGUGCCAGCAGCCGCGGUAAUAAU